rnacentral:pre_miRNA from 1 species
UAUUAGGUUGGUGCAAAAGUAAUUGUGGUUUUUGUUACUGAAAGUAAUGGCAAAAGCCGCAAUUACUCUUGCACCAACCUAAUA